AACUCUGCCCUCCGUAGCCCUCAGCUUGGACUCCAACCUCCUUCUGAUUGGCCAUGUGUAGUACUAUCUCGAGCUCCAUUGCCCGACACCUGGGGACCAAGAAGCCUUGAUCCACCAGAGCCAUAAUGUCAGCACCCUGCAAAUGAAGAAAGGUUAGCACCAAAGUUGAACCCCUGAAAUUAAAUCGGAGGAGCAUUGCUCUCAAAUUACCUAAGCCACCCAUGAACUUGAUAGUCUUGCAACAACAGCAUCUGCCGGCAG
rnacentral:lncRNA from 1 species